rnacentral:tRNA from 2 species
CGGGAUGUAGCGCAGCUGGUAGCGCGCUUGGUUUGGGACCAAGAUGCCGCAGGUUCGAAUCCUGUCAUCCCGA